UACAGAGGGGGCAAGCGUUGUUCGGAAUUACUGGGCGUAAAGGGCGCGUAGGCGGUCUUUUAAGUCGAACGUGAAAUCCCCGGGCUCAACCCGGGAACUGCGUCCGAUACUGGAAGGCUUGAAUCCGGGAGAGGGAUGCGGAAUUCCAGGUGUAGCGGUGAAAUGCGUAGAUAUCUGGAGGAACACCGGUGGCGAAGGCGGCAUCCUGGACCGGCAUUGACGCUGAGGCGCGAAAGCCAGGGGAGCAAACGGG
rnacentral:rRNA from 1 species